UACGUAGGGGGCAAGCGUUGUCCGGAUUUAUUGGGCGUAAAGAGUGUGUAGGUGGCCUAGUAAGUCUGCUGUGAAAACUCGAGGCUUAACCUCGAGCUGUCGGCGGAAACUAUUUGGCUAGAGUCCGGAAGAGGAGAAUGGAAUUCCCGGUGUAGCGGUGAAAUGCGCAGAUAUCGGGAAGAACACCCGUGGCGAAGGCGGUUCUCUGGGACGGUACUGACGCUGAGACGCGAAAGCUUGGGGAGCGAACAGG
rnacentral:rRNA from 1 species